rnacentral:rRNA from 1 species
GGGUAGAGUAACGCGUGAGUAACCUGCCUUACACAAGGGGAUAGCCUUUGGAAACGAAGAAUAAUACCCUAUAAAACCAUAAAAGCACAUGCUAGAAUGGUCAAAGUGAUAGCGGUGUAAGAUGGACUUGCGUCUGAUUAGCUAGUUGGUGAGAUAAAAGCUCACCAAGGCAACGAUCAGUAGCCGGCUUGAGAGAGUGUACGGCCACAUUGGGACUGAGACACGGCCCAG